rnacentral:rRNA from 1 species
GACGGAGGAUGCAAGCGUUAUCCGGAAUGAUUGGGCGUAAAGCGUCCGCAGGUGGCAGUUCAAGUCUGCUGUCAAAGACCGGGGCUUAACUUCGGAAAGGCAGUGGAAACUGAACAGCUAUAGUAUGGUAGGGGCAGAGGGAAUUCCUGGUGUAGCGGUGAAAUGCGUAGAGAUCAGGAAGAACAUCGGUGGCGAAGGCGCUCUGCUGGACCAUAACUGACACUCAGGGACGAAAGCUAGGGGAGCGAAUGGG